UGGUGGGUAGUUUGACUGGGGCGGUCUCCUCCCAAAGCGUAACGGAGGAGCACGAAGGUUAGCUAAUCCUGGUCGGACAUCAGGAGGUUAGUGCAAUGGCAUAAGCUAGCUUGACUGCGAGCGUGACGGCGCGAGCAGGUGCGAAAGCAGGUCAUAGUGAUCCGGUGGUUCUGAAUGGAAGGGCCAUCGCUCAACGGAUAAAAGGUACUCCGGGGAUAACAGGCUGAUACCGCCCAAGAGUUCAUAUCGACGGCGGUGUUUGGCACCUCGAUGUCGGCUCAUCACAUCCUGGGGCUGAAGUAGGUCCCAAGGGUAUGGCUGUUCGCCAUUUAAAGUGGUACGCGAGCUGGGUUUAGAACGUCGUGAGACAGUUCGGUCCCUAUCUGCCGUGGGCGCUGGAGAAUUGAGGGGGGCUGCUCCUAGUACGAGAGGACCGGAGUGGACGCAUCACUGGUGUUCGGGUUGUCAUGCCAAUGGCACUGCCCGGUAGCUAAAUGCGGAAGAGAUAAGUGCUGAAAGCAUCUAAGCACGAAACUUGCCCCGAGAUGAGUUCUCCCUGAGACUU
rnacentral:rRNA from 4 species